CCUACGGGCGGCUGCAGUGGGGAAUAUUGGACAAUGGGGGGAACCCUGAUCCAGCCAUGCCGCGUGUGUGAAGAAGGCCCUCGGGUUGUAAAGCACUUUCAGUGAGGAAGAACGCCUGGUGGUUAAUACCCAUCAGGAAAGACAUCACUCACAGAAGAAGCACCGGCUAACUCCGUGCCAGCAGCCGCGGUAAUACGGAGGGUGCGAGCGUUAAUCGGAAUUACUGGGCGUAAAGCGCGCGUAGGUGGCUUGAUAAGCCGGUUGUGAAAGCCCCGGGCUCAACCUGGGAACGGCAUCCGGAACUGUCAAGCUAGAGUUCAGGAGAGGAAGGUAGAAUUCCCGGUGUAGCGGUGAAAUGCGUAGAGAUCGGGAGGAAUACCAGUGGCGAAGGCGGCCUUCUGGACUGACACUGACACUGAGGUGCGAAAGCGUGGGUAGCAAACAGGAUUAGAUACCCGGGUAGUC
rnacentral:rRNA from 1 species